rnacentral:rRNA from 1 species
AGCAGCCGCGGUAAUUCCAGCUCCAAUAGCGUAUAUUAAAGUUGUUGCAGUUAAAAAGCUCGUAGUUGAAUUUCGGGGUCAGUAGGUCGGUCGUGCCACUGGUAUGCACUGGUCUCACUGAUUCCUCCUUCUUGAAGAACCGUAAUGUCAUUAACUUGGUGUUGCGGGGAAACAGGACUGCUACCCUGAAAAAUUAGAGUGUUUAAAGCAGGCCAGCGCCUGAAUACAUUAGCAUGGAAUAAUGAAAUAGGACGUUCGAUCCUAUUUUGUUGGUUUCUAGGAUUGACGUAAUGAUUAAUAGGGAUAGUUGGGGGCAUUAGUAUUCAAUUGUCAGAGGUGAAAUUCUUGGAUUUAUUGAAGACUAACUACUGCGAAAGCAUUUGCCAAGGAUGUUUUCAUUAAUCAAGAACGAAAGUUAGGGGAUCGAAGACGAUCAGAUACCGUCGUAGUCUUAACCAUAAACUAUGCCGACUAGGGAUCGGAUGAUGUUAAUUUUAUAAUGACUCAUUCGGCG